GCUGAACUUAAGCAUAUCAAUAAGCGGAGGAAAAGAAACCAACCGGGAUUGCCUCAGUAACGGCGAGUGAAGCGGCAAAAGCUCAAAUUUGAAAUCUGGCACUUUCAGUGUCCGAGUUGUAAUUUGUAGAAGUAGUUUUGGGACUGGUCCUUGUCUAUGUUUCUUGGAACAGGACGUCAUAGAGGGUGAGAACCCCGUAUGAUGAGGAUCCCAGUCCUUUGUAAAACGCUUUCGAAGAGUCGAGUUGUUUGGGAAUGCAGCUCUAAGUGGGUGGUAAAUUCCAUCUAAAGCUAAAUAUUGGCGAGAGACCGAUAGCGAACAAGUACAGUGAWGGAAAGAUGAAAAGAACUUUGAAAAGAGAGUGAAAAAGUACGUGAAAUUGUUGAAAGGGAAGGGCAUUUGAUCAGACAUGGUGUUUUGCGCCCUUUGCUCCUUGUGGGCGGAGGAUACGCAGCUCACUGGGCCAACAUCAGUUUUGGGAGCAGGAUAAAUCUGUAGGAACGUGGCUUUCUUCGGGAAGUGUUAUAGCCUAUGGGAAUACUGCUACCUGGGACUGAG
rnacentral:rRNA from 1 species